rnacentral:rRNA from 1 species
GCGGACGGGUGAGUAACGCGUAGGAAUCUACCUNGUAGUGGGGGACAACUUGUGGAAACGCAAGCUAAUACCGCAUACGCCCUAUGGGGGAAAGCGGGGGAUCUUCGGACCUCGCGCUAUUGGAUGAGCCUGCGUAAGAUUAGCUAGUUGGUGAGGUAAAAGCUCACCAAGGCGACGAUCCUUAGCUGGUCUGAGAGGAUGAUCAGCCACACUGGNACUGAGACACGGNCCAGACUCCUACGGGAGGCAGCAGUGGGGAAUAUUGCGCAAUGGGCGAAAGCCUGACGCAGCCAUGCCGCGUGUGUGAAGAAGGCCUUAGGGUUGUAAAGCACUUUCAAUUGGGAAGAAANGUUGNUNGUUAAUAGCCAUNAGCNNUGACAUUACCUUUAGAAGAAGCACCGGCUAACUCCGUGCCAGCAGCCGCGGUAAUACGGAGGGUGCGAGCGUUAAUCGGAAUUACUGGGCGUAAAGCGCGCGUAGGCGGUUAGUUAAGUCGGNUGUGAAAGCCCNGGGCUCAACCUGNGAACUGCAUUNGAUACUGGCCGACUAGAGUNCAAAAGAGGGAGGUAGAAUUCCAUGUGUAGCGGUGAAAUGCGUAGAUAU